rnacentral:rRNA from 1 species
UCAAUAAGCGGAGGAAAAGAAACUAACAAGGAUUCCCCUAGUAGCGGCGAGCGAAGCGGGAAGAGCUCAAAUUUAUAAUCUGGCACCUUCGGUGUCCGAGUUGUAAUCUCUAGAAGUGUUUUCCGCGUUGGACCGCACACAAGUCUGUUGGAAUACAGCGGCACAGUGGUGAUACCCCCGUACACGGUGCGGACGCCCAGCGCUUUGUGAUACACUUUCAAAGAGUCGAGUUGUUUGGGAAUGCAGCUCAAAUUGGGUGGUAAAUUCCAUCUAAAGCUAAAUAUUGGCGAGAGACCGAUAGCGAACAAGUACCGUGAGGGAAAGAUGAAAAGCACUUUGGAAAGAGAGUUAACAGUACGUGAAAUUGUUGGAAGGGAAACGCUUGAAGUCAGACUUGCUUGCCGGAGCUUGCUUCGGUUUGCAGGCCAGCAUCAGUUUUUCGGGGUGGAUAAUGGCGGUUUGAAGGUAGCAGUCUCGUGCUGUGUUAUAGCUUUCCGCUGGAUACACCCUGGGGGACUGAGGAACGCAGCGUGCUUUUAGCGAAGGUUUCGACCUUUUCACGCUUAGGAUGCUGGUGGAAUGGCUUUAAACGACCCGUCUUGAAACA